AGGGUAUUGUGAAUAAAACUGCUGCAAAUAAUCUGGGAAAUGGCUAUACUGGGGGAACGGACUUCCAGGGUAAAUUGGGGGUUGCGGUUUCUGCCACAUAUGGGGGUGCCUUGGAAAUGUAGGUUUCUGCUCUGGUGCCUGGUCAUCUGUAGAAGAUUCCCCUGCAGGCUCAGCUGUGGGAUAGCCCUUACCAGGAUACUGGGAUUGGGAGUAGGGAUAUGGCCACAUCAUAUGGGGGUCCUUUGGAAACUGAGGUUUCUGGUCUGGUGCCUGGUCAUCUGUAGAAGACUCCCCUGCAGGCUCAGCUGUGGGAUAGCCCUUACC